CACCAACUCAAAAAAAUUAAAGUGAAAUUACUAAUUUACCCCUAAAUAAAAAAAAAUCCUUUCAACCAACACUUCAACUUGAACUUCACCAAUAGCCGUGUCUUCCACCUCUCUAAGCUUUAACAGACACCACACUUUGCACCCUUCCAAACAACGCUUCUACUUGAACUUCACCAACAGCCGUGUCUUCCACCUCUCUCUGCUUUAACAGACACCACACUUUGCUCUGUUUUCUACAGUUGAAGCUAUGCACCUUCUCACUUUGCUCUGUUUAUACAAACAGAAACGCUGUUCACUGCUUUCCAACAUCAACUUCUCAUGUCUAACUUUGCUGUAUUUUUUACACCAGAAACACUUUUCGCCGCUUUCCGAUAUCAACUUCUCUGGUCUGCUGUAUUUUUUACAACAGAAACGUUGUUCGCCACUUCCCGGCUACAACUUCUCUGGUCAAACUUUCAUCUACUUCUCCGGUAAGACACAAAUUAUCUUUUAUGAUUAUUCAUUUACUUCAAACAGUUCUUCCAGUGUUAUUUAUAUUCAUAUUUCUAUCAUUGUCAUUGUUUCUUCAUCUACAUCCGUUGUUAAGGCAGGGCGAAACCAUUGGUGAAAUUCUCCAACCAGAAAAUUAAAUUGUUUGUCCAACAUGCCGACAGAUGUGGAAUUAUCACAACAAAGUGUUCCUAUUAACAAUACACCUACUUACUCUGCUGACAGUAUUAUGAAAGAUCAAUAAUACCUUAUAAGACCUCGACGCAUCAUGGCACUUUGAGAACUGCACUAUUAGUUGACGAAGAGGGGACAAAGAUUCAGGAAACCUUAUUCAAUAAGCAUAUCGAAAUAUGGAAGGACUUCUUCAAGCCAAAUAAUUCUUACUACAUUGUCAAUGGUCGCUUGGAUCGCGUCAACCCCAAAUACACUUCAGUGCACAAACAAGUUGAACUGACGUUUACAAACAACACCUUCGUUUUG